UACGUAGGGCGCAAGCGUUGUCCGGAAUUAUUGGGCGUAAAGAGCUCGUAGGUGGCUUGUCGCGUCUGCCGUGAAAGCCCAUGGCUUAACUGUGGGUCUGCGGUGGAUACGGGCAGGCUGGAGGCUGGUAGGGGCAAGCGGAAUUCCUAGUGUAGCGGUGAAAUGCGCAGAUAUCAGGAGGAACACCGGUGGCGAAGGCGGCUUGCUGGGCCAGUUCUGACGCUGAGGAGCGAAAGCGUGGGGAGCGAACAGG
rnacentral:rRNA from 1 species